rnacentral:rRNA from 1 species
GUGGUUUAAUUCGAUGCAACGCGAAGAACCUUACCUACUCUUGACAUCCAGAGAACUUUCCAGAGAUGGAUUGGUGCCUUCGGGAACUCUGAGACAGGUGCUGCAUGGCUGUCGUCAGCUCGUGUUGUGAAAUGUUGGGUUAAGUCCCGCAACGAGCGCAACCCUUAUCCUUGUUUGCCAGCGAGUAAUGUCGGGAACUCCAGGGAGACUGCCGGUGAUAAACCGGAGGAAGGUGGGGACGACGUCAAGUCAUCAUGGCCCUUACGAGUAGGGCUACACACGUGCUACAAUGGCGCAUACAGAGGGCGGCCAACUUGCGAAAGUGAGCGAAUCCCAAAAAGUGCGUCGUAGUCCGGAUUGGAGUCUGCAACUCGACUCCAUGAAGUCGGAAUCGCUAGUAAUCGUGGAUCAGAAUGCCACGGUGAAUACGUUCCCGGGCCUUGUACACACCGCCCGUCACACCAUGGGAG